rnacentral:lncRNA from 1 species
CCAAACCAAGAACAAAGAAGAACAAAAGAAGAAAAGGAAGAGAACAAACCCUAGGUGGAAAAAUUCAAGGAAAAAGUGUGAAAAUUCAAGGAAACAAGUGAAAAAAAGGUAAAAUUUUUCAAUUUAGCUUGAGAUCUUUCUUUCCCAUGCAUUUCUCCUCAUUUUUCAUAGUUAAAUUACAUGUUUUCAUUAUGAAUUCAUGGCUGGUCGGAAUGGGUAUGGAGAGAGAAUGAUAUUAGAUUGAUUUGAUUUCAAGUUAUGUUAGUGUUUUUAGUUAGUUUACCAUGUCUAGAAGCAAAACAAUAAGAAAAGAAUCUAUUUUCCCCAUGAAUCUUCAUUGACCGAAUCUUCCUUGAUGUGUGUGGGUGAUGGAUUGUUAUUAUUUCAAGAGAAAUGGCUUAGAAAAUGAUGAAUAAUGGUGAGAAAAUUAAGUAGGAAAAAUCACGGUGUUAAUGCACCGUUAGUGACCGAAAAAUUUAAGAAGAAAAGUGAAGAUGGUUUUGCCAAUUUUAGGUUUUUUGACUUGUGUUUGGUGAAUUAAGGUAUUGGAAAAGAAAUGGAGCAAUUUGGAGCUAAUAUGGAUGCAUUGACCAAUUAAUCGGGUGAUAAGAUGAAUUAGGCCAAUACCGGGGAUUAGUUGGUUACCUGUGCAUUUUGAAUUCCAUAUCAUGCAUUAGUAGUCUAAAUUAGUUUAAUUUCGAUUUAGUACCAAAGUAGUAAGUUUCUCGAUUUUGUACUAUGUCAAGGUGGUGAGUCCUCCGAUAAAGGCAAGAAAAUUGCAUUCGAGGACCAAUAGUUAGAGUACUUCGAAAAUUCGUACUCUACACAUUGUGAGUAACCUUACUAUCGUCUUAAUUAUCUAAAGUAGUUUUUAUCCGAUUUUGUGAAUUUUAUGGAAAAUGAAUUAAAUGAUUAAUUUUUCAGUUUUAUAAACCAAAUGUGAUUUAGUGAAAUGAUUUCAUAAAAUUGUUUUGGAAUUGAAUGAUGAUUUUGAAAAUAGAGUAAAUGGAGACCCCUGAUGUGUUGUAAAUUUAUGAUCUGAAUUGAUGGCUUAGGUAAAUGUGUUGACAUGACUGGUUGGGUUAUGUUUUUGGUGAACUGUAUGAAUUGUUCUGUUUUACAUUUACAAGUUGGGUAGUAUAAUAUUAGUCACGUCAUGUUGUCAAAAUUUUAUUGUAUGGUGGGUAUUGCUUGCUGCAGUGGGCUAGGUUUUGUGGACUAGCCUAUUAGAGGGGCACCAAAUCCUGACAUAUUUUACCUCAGUUGGAGAGGCGAGUAGGGUAACUCCCCGAGGUGUAACUUUUAGAGUUCACUUCACCUCAAACCACCACAUGAGGGAGAACUCGACCAAUGCCAAGGAACGAUUAUAUUUUCUAAAUAAAAACACAAUUUAAGAGUAUAUAACUUUUUAAUAGCCUUGGUGGACUCGGUUUGGGAUAGCCCUCAGCCAAGGUAUCCCUGAUAACUGAGUAUGAGAAUAAUUUUUGGCAUGAGCCAAGUUUUAAGAAAUUCAUAAGCCAUGUUGAUUACUCGAUUUAAAUGAAUUGAAUUUUAUUUGGUUGAAAGAUGAUAAAUUAAAGUAUGAUGAUUUACUUUAUCUGUCUCCAUUUACUCGACUUUAGAUAUUUAAGAUAGUGUUUGUUUACUCACUGGGAUUAUAUAAUCUCACCACCCUCCUUUCCACCCAUUUCAGGCUCAGAAUAAACUAUAGAUAGUUGAUCGCAUCGAGGACAACCAUUGGAAUUGCAUUUUUCAAACUGUAGGUUCACAAUUCUCUUUCCUUUUGAAUAUUCGGGGGUCCCACUUGUUACUGUAAAUUAAAUUUCAUACUCUAGUUAUCUGUACUACUGUAUAUAGGAAUUUAUUUUGCUUUUAUGCUGUAAAAAAAAUUAUUUACGCAGUGUUUUUUAAAUAUUGUUUUAUAAGAUAAUAGAAUAUUUUACUUAAUAUUUCUUUUAUUUUUCUAUUAAAUCCAAAUAAGCAUAAUUUCGUUUUAAAUGAAGAUUUUAGACUCUUCAACUCAUUUUGAUUAUGAAUUAUGUGUUUUGUACUUGUAUAUUACAUUUUAGCCAGUUUCAAAAUUUUUGAAAAAAAUGACCAAAAUACUCAUGUUAGAUGAAAAUUAUUAUUUUAUUUGUUUUAAGUUGGAAACAGUUUAAAAUCUUUUAGAACGUGAUAAUUGGCAACAGUUACUCAUAGGGGAGAUGAUAAGCUGAUAUUAAAGCCUUGCAGGGUUCUAGUUGACAUUCCGGGUAAUGAGUGUAGAUCGGGGCAUCGCGACGAUUGUCACGGGCUCGAGGGGAGUUCCGGGUCGUGACAUUAUAAUUGAUUGUAAAAGUUCCGGGUCGUGACAUUUAAAUCAAGUUAUAAUUGAUUGUCACGGGCUCGAGGGGAGUUCCGGGUCGUGACAUCAUCUCAUUAAUGAUCUUAACUUGAUUUUUUUUACAUUUUUGGUUGAAACAGAUUAUAAUUGAUUGUUUACAUCGAGAAACGUGAUGCAAAAGCCAUCCAUUGGGAAGAAAAGUUCAGUUAUAGUCACUAAUGGCUUCGAAAGUCUUAUUACUUACUUUAAAUGGUUUUAUAAUCUCAUAAUAGAUUUUAAGUUGAUUUUUUUUACAUUUUUGGUUAAAACAAAUUAUAAUUGAAUGUUUGCCUCAAAAAACAUGAAGCAAAAGCCAUCAAUUGAAAAAAAAAUCUAUUUAUA